ensembl:snRNA U1 U1 spliceosomal RNA
AGAUUUAACCUGGCAGAGGAGACACUAUGAUCAUGAAGGUGGUUUCCCCAGGGUGAGGCUCAUUGCACUCCAGAUGUGCUGACCCCUGCAAUUUCCCCAAAGGUGGAAAACUCAGCUGCAUAAUUUGUGAUAGUGGGGGCUGUGUUGGUACACUUCCCUG